CGGCGGAGUUCCGGGAGGAGGCGCCGCUUCUGGAAGCCACGCGCGAGGGGACACGAGUUCAAGCCCUGGUCCGGGAAGAUCCCACAUGCAGCGGAGCAAGCCUGUGCGCAGCAACGAAGACCCAACGCAGCCAGAAGUAAAUAAAUAAAAAUUUGAAGAAAAGAAAAAGGCCAACAAUCAUAAAGAAAAAUGAGCUAGAGGUGCCCCAGGGAAAGUGUGGAGACACAGACUAUCUCCAGGCAGCAGUGGCUGCAGGAGGAAGAUGAUAAAGCAGCAGUCACUUCAUUCUGCUGGUUCAGGGCCGUGGACAUCAAGGAUGGCAGCUGGGCAGCUGUGCCAGCCAACUGCUCCCUGGCACCUCUGCAUCCAUCAGGGAGGCCAGGGCUUGGAGAGUGACCAACCACCAGCUGUCUGCAGGUUUGGCUCCAUCAAUGUCCUAUCCACCUACCAGAUGUUCAUGCCGUGGCUCUUAAAUCAGACCAGCUGGGUUAGAACCCUGGCUUCACCACUUACUGUGGCGGGUAGGAAGAGUUAUUUACCCUCUCUGUGCUUCAGUUCCUCUCCCAUAAUCUGGUGGUAAUAAUGUCCAUUUCAUAGGGUGGUUUGGGGGACAAAAUGAGAU